rnacentral:lncRNA from 1 species
AACAUGCAUAAACCCUUAACCAUGCACAAAGGAGCUUAACAACUAGAUUAAACUCCAAAAACAACAUCCAGAGCAUGCAUAAACAGCUUAUGACCCACAUAAGCCAAAACCAACAAAACUAGCUUAAACCUCACUCGCUCUUCCCCAAUCAUGCAUACACUCCCCCACAUGCAUAAACUAGCUCAACACUUCACCAUAACAUCACAUAAACAUACAUUGGGCAUAAAACCCACAAAAAUCCUAACAUGCAUAUCUACCCAUACUCAACCAUUAAAACUUCAUAGAACCUCAUUAGAACACAAGGAAAGCAAGGAUCUACACUUACCUCUUGAAGAUCGAGGGCUGGUGCGACCCAAAGCUUGAGGUGUGGAGAAUCCAAACUCUUAAAGUCUCCAAGCUCUCCAAACCUUGAUCCAAGCUUGAAAACUCUUCAAAAUAGCCAUAAAACUCAUGAAAACAUGAAGGAGAUGAAGGAAAAACAUGAAAACGGCCAAAGGAGGACAAAAACUCA